GGGAUGCUGGAAAUACGUUUUUGCAUCGAUUAUUGAGCUCCAUCGUGAAUUCAUCGAAUCGCAAUCGAAUGCGAGCUUGCUUUAUAUUUUACAAAAUCUUCAUAUAAACUCGAUCGAUUAGUUUCUGACAAUAAUCAAACGCAUUGUUCAACGCAUUUCUAUUGAUUUUUUCAAGCUAUCAAUCAAGUGCGGCUACCUCUGGUUCGGUGCAACUACGGGCUUUCGUUUCGGAUCUAAACUUUUGGAUCAUCAUACGCACCAGCGUUUGGGAUAAAAGCGAAGGAAGGAUCGGAGGGAAACGAUUAUUCUGUCGAGAGGAGAAAGAAAGAGGUGAAAAGAAGCAUAGAAAAGCCGAGCAGACAUUUGACAGCAACUUUCAGGAGGGACGACGGAGCCAUGCAAAAAUUACCAUUCGCUGAUUGCGGCGGGUUUCCGGCCGGAAAUAGCUCGAGCUGUGAGCGCUUGCCGUCCCCAGGGACCGGAGACCCGGCUCGACUUGACCCUACAUCGUGUCAGGAAAGACAUUCAUAGUCGCGCGUUCAAGGCCCAUCGAGACGAGGAUUAUCAUGGGAGUAAGAUUCGGUACAGCAAGAGUAUUUGUGUUCGGAUUGCCAGAUCGGACAACAAGAAAUUGAGUAAAUGCACAAAAUCUUUCAACAGAGUUUCCAAGCCACGACGAUCAACUUAAUAAGACACGUAGACACAGCCAUCGAUUAUUCCCACGAUUA